CGGGCUAUAUUGAAACCUAGUGAUGUAUGAGUUAGUGGCGGACGGGUGAGUAACGCGUGGAGAACCUGCCGUAUACUGGGGGAUAACACUUAGAAAUAGGUGCUAAUACCGCAUAAGCGCACAGCUUCGCAUGAAGCAGUGUGAAAAACUCCGGUGGUAUACGAUGGAUCCGCGUCUGAUUAGCUGGUUGGCGGGGUAACAGCCCACCAAGGCGACGAUCAGUAGCCGGCCUGAGAGGGUGAACGGCCACAUUGGGACUGAGACACGGCCCAAACUCCUACGGGAGGCAGCAGUGGGGAAUAUUGCACAAUGGGGGAAACCCUGAUGCAGCGACGCCGCGUGAGUGAAGAAGUAUUUCGGUAUGUAAAGCUCUAUCAGCAGGGAAGAAAUACUGACCUUACGGUCAGCAGACGGUACCUGACUAAGAAGCCCCGGCUAACUACGUGCCAGCAGCCGCGGUAAUACGUAGGGGGCAAGCGUUAUCCGGAUUUACUGGGUGUAAAGGGAGCGUAGACGGCAGCGCAAGUCUGAAGUGAAAUCCCAUGGCUUAACCAUGGAACUGCUUUGGAAACUGUGCAGCUGGAGUGCAGGAGAGGUAAGCGGAAUUCCUAGUGUAGCGGUGAAAUGCGUAGAUAUUAGGAGGAACACCAGUGGCGAAGGCGGCUUACUGGACUGUAACUGACGUUGAGGCUCGAAAGCGUGGGGAGCAAACAGGAUUAGAUACCCUGGUAGUCCACGCCGUAAACGAUGAUUACUAG
rnacentral:rRNA from 1 species